ensembl:lncRNA novel transcript
AUUUAAGUGAAUUUUGAAAAUAUUUUAAAUGUCUCCCGCAAAAAACAAAAUACAGUUGGUCCUCAAACAAUGUGAGUUUGAACUGAGUGGGUCCACUUAACACAAUAAUUUUUUGCAAUAAGUAUAGUCAGCCCUCCAUACCAGCCAGUUCCAAAUUCACAACCAAACACAGAUUGAAAAUUCAGUAUUGGAGGGAUGCAAAUCCCACGUGUAAAGAGGGCCGACUUUGCAUAUCCACGAUUUCUGCAGUACCGAUGGCGGGACUGGAGUAUGAGCAGAUUUUGGUAUCCACAAGUGGUUCUGGAACAAAUUCCCCACAGAUACUGAGGAACGACUAAACGGCCUAGACCUGAUCCAAAGUCAGUUUUGUGCUUUGUUCCUAUGACGUUGGCCCAUAAUAUUUUCUUUUCUUUUCUUUUCUUUUCUUUUUUUUGAGACAGUUUCACUCUCGUUACCAAGGCUGAAGUGCAAUGGCACCAACUCAGCUCACCGCAACCUCCGCCUCCUGGGUUCAAGCGAUUCUCCUGCCUCAGCCUCCCGAGUAGCUGGGAUUACAGGUAUGAGUCACCACGCCCAGCCCAGUUUCUGUUUUGACUAGAUGGUUUGGAUAUAAUCCUAGUAAAAUCUGAUGUACACCCAACUUGCCUUUUCUACAAGUCUGUGAACAUUUGAUUGGUUGAAAUGAUACCUAAAUGUCUUAGGUUGAGCCACAACAAGCUCCACUAACUUUCAAUAGUAAAGCUUAGAGCAUGUCUGUAGCCCUAAAAAAUGUGAGAAUAUUCAGAUCAACUUUCUGUGUUGAAUUUCAUCUCCUCAUUUCUAUUUGUUCAUCUACAAGUUUAUUUCUGUAAUUCUAUUU